AGUGAACGCUGGCGGUAGGCCUAACACAUGCAAGUCGAACGGCAGCACAGUAAGAGCUUGCUCUUACGGGUGGCGAGUGGCGGACGGGUGAGGAAUACAUCGGAAUCUACUUUUUCGUGGGGGAUAACGUAGGGAAACUUACGCUAAUACCGCAUACGACCUACGGGUGAAAGCAGGGGAUCUUCGGACCUUGCGCGAUUGAAUGAGCCGCUGUGGGAUUAGCUAGUUGGCGGGGUAAAGACCCACCAAGGCGACGAUCCGUAGCUGGUCUGGGUGGAUGGUCGGCCACACUGGAAGUGAAACACGGUCCAGACUCCUACGAGAGGCAGCAGUGGGGAAUAGUGGACAAUGGGCGCAAGCCUGAUCCAGCCAUACCGCGUGGGUGAAGAAGGCCUUCGGGUUGUAAAGCCCUUUUGUUGGGAGAGAAAAGCAGCAGGUUAAUACCCCGCUGUUCCGACGGUACCCAAAGAAUAAGCACCGGCUAACUUCGUG
rnacentral:rRNA from 1 species